rnacentral:rRNA from 1 species
CUGUGUGAACAGGGGCAUGAACG